GUCCAUGCCGUAAACGAUGUCUACUAGCCGUUGGGGCCUUUGAGGCUUUAGUGGCGCAGCUAACGCGAUAAGUAGACCGCCUGGGGAGUACGGUCGCAAGACUAAAACUCAAAUGAAUUGACGGGGGCCCGCACAAGCGGUGGAGCAUGUGGUUUAAUUCGAUGCAACGCGAAGAACCUUACCUGGCCUUGACAUAGUAGAAACUUUCCAGAGAUGGAUUGGUGCCUUCGGGAAUCUACAUACAGGUGCUGCAUGGCUGUCGU
rnacentral:rRNA from 1 species